GACGGGGGCUAGCGUUGUUCUGAAUUACUGGGCGUAAAGCGCGCGUAGGCGGUUUUGCAAGCCAGAGGUGAAAUGCCUGAGCUCAACUUAGGAAUUGCCUUUGGGACUGCGAGGCUUUGAGGACUGGAGAGGUGAGUGGAAUUCCCAGUGUAGAGGUGAAAUUCGUAGAUAUUGGGAAGAACACCAGUGGCGAAGGCGGCUCACUGGCCAGUUUCUGACGCUGCAGCGCGAAAGCGUGGGGAUCAAACAGGAUUAGAUACCCUGGUAGUCCACGCUGUAAACGAUGAGUGCUAGGCGUCGGCACGCUUGCGUGUCGGUGCCGCAGCUAACGCGUGAAGCACUCCGCCUGGGGAGUACGGUCGCAAGAUUA
rnacentral:rRNA from 1 species